AUUUGAUGAGACUAAAACCUGGAAAAACUUCAAGGAGCAUAAAAAUGUUAUUUUAUGCGAGGUGAUGGAGGGAUAGGGGAUGGUGGAGAGUGUGAGUGACCUUUCCUAUUCACCAAAAUUACAAAACAUAUUUAUAGUAAAAGACAGAAGGCAAUGCACCAAAUCAAUGCUAAUACUUGAAACUUAUUCUGUGACAAAUUUCAUAAUGGAUUUAAAAUCUAAAAUUCUAGUACAGUUUUCUCUUUGGAUAAUAUAGUAUUUAAUUGUCAUAUGGAAAAGGUAGCCACCAAAGAUAGAAGCCCUAGAAAAAACCCUGUUAUGAUCUUAUUAGGCAUUUUAUAAUUUUUUAGCGAAUUUUUUUUUUCUGUUUGAGAAGAUUUUUCAAGACCAAGAAAGAAGCAUCUCAAAAUAGUAAAGAACAGUAACUCUAUAUGUUGAGUGACAGACUUGACUUCUGUGGUGAUUAGGUUCUGAACUGGGGAAACCCACAGACAGAGAAGGUCACAGCAAAUGUGAGAGGAGUCUCUUGAAGUCUAUUGUUCCAAAUACUCCAAUUCUGCUUGUCAAGGAUGCCUGGAGAGGGGCACUGAAGAGAAUAGCAAUGAAUAGGACAACCCUAGAGAAGAGAGAACAGCUUCCUUGCUAAAAUCAACAUCAUCCUAAUUUUCAUAGAACUACCACACACUGUGGUGGGCGGGGGAGGCUUUUAAUCUACACAAGAAUGAGUCCAGAGGAAUUAAGUGAUGUCAAUUCUUUGAGAGAACAGGUGUACCUGAGACAGAAGCCCAGCUGUCAUGAACGAUCCUCAUCCUGAACUGAAGUCUCCCUUACCCCUUCUGACUCGAGAGGGCCUGAACCUACACACAGAGGCAAGACCCAGAUCCAUCUCACUGAUUACAGGUUUUAGAUGUACCCUGCUGCUCUGUGCUGUUCUCCAGCUUGUACAAGUCUUUCCUCUUCAUCAAUGCCCUCAGCACCACACUAAGCAAUGAUUGGCACUUUCAAAAUGACCCUUCUUCCAAAAUCAAACUCCCACACAUUUAGGCUACAGAAGAAAAAUGUCCCAGUCAUCUGGUCCACAUGGGAGUGUGAAAAAAUAAUAACAUCUACUUAGGCAAUUGUAUGUUUACGAAUUUGGUAAUUGUUGCAAAUGGAUGAUGGUUUCAAAAGGCCUCUAGAAAAAAUAUUGGAAAAGAAUACUUUCUAGAGAUCCCAGGCUACCUCUCCUGACUCCCUGAGGCAUUCUCUAACAUAAAAAUUGCAGAACAGUGAAAUGAGGUGGUGAGUACUCUUUAAAAAUCAGAUGGAGUAUUGGUCAAAUGCUGCAGUGGCAAGAGGUGAUGCAUGGCAGCUGUCAGAGCUGCUUUGAGAUACCCAUUAAAGCUUGGCAUCGAUUACUUUCAAUAUUGAUCGGACUAUUUCUACCAGGACUAUUAACUCACAGAAAACAUUAAUCUAGGGACAAUCAACUUUUUUUGAAGUUGCUUUAUUUUUUUUUCUAGAAAUAAAUCUAAAUUGCCCUGUAUUUGAAUUUAAGAA
rnacentral:lncRNA from 12 species